rnacentral:lncRNA from 1 species
GCAGGCACCAUCAUUGUAAUGGAGAAUGCAGGGGCAGCUCCCUACACAGUGUGGCAUUGAUGUGUGUAAACAGACAAGAUAAUGGGAGCUGAAGGUUUGUUUCCUGAAAAAGCAGCAGACGGGAGGAAGAGGAGGACAUAGGCCUAAGACACAGAACAAGUCAGCCUGGAUUCCAGACCACCAGGUGCUAAACUGGGAAUCUGCGCCAGAGCCUAGGAGGGAAAGAACUGAGCAGCAGGUACAUGUGCAGGCUGAUAAUCGGGAAUGAGAACUCGGAGAAUAAGGAUUGCACAAUGCAGAGUUCAGGGGCGGGGCUGUGUAGAAUGCAAGCCAGAGCACUGGCACUUGUACCUACUUAUCAUCAUGCUUCUUCCAAGCAAAGUUUCGGCAGGGUGUUCAGGAAGAGAUUUGAGCUGAACUUGGUCCCCCGCCCCCCAAAUGACUGAAUCCCACGAAGUCACACUUCUUUUUGGAUAUUUUCCAGCUUUAGUUGAAAGACCCCCGCCCUUAGCUUUUUCUUUUAAGUUUCCCCGCGCGCGCAGCUGGCGGAGCGCGUGGGGAAUACAUCCUCCCCAGCACUCUCCCCGACCCUUGAACCCUGCAGCUGCUGGCUCUCACUCCCCGCCCCGCGCAAGGCCAACCCCCGCCGGAUCGCUCCGGAUCGCUCUGUCCCAAGGCCAG